CCUAAUUCAUAUCGAAUCGAAUCGAACCAAACCGAAUCACAUCACCGCCGAACCACCUGUACCUCCUAACAACCUAAAAACAAACCACCACGGAUUCCCUCAUCUCCACCAUAGUCCCACCGCCAAUUAUCCAUUUUCGUUCCAUCUCCGGUGAACAAACCACUAAGCAGCCAUCAAAAUCCCUUUUCCCCAAUUUUUAAUACCACUUUCUGUCAGUUUCAUAUGCGGUGUUUAUCAUCGUUUUUCUCCGAAGAAGCUCUGGUCAGAAUCGUAAUUGCCGGUCCGGUUCUGCUUCAAAUGGCAGAGAUUGGAAUAUCUGACAGUAGCUGGUGGUUCGUUAGAAGAAACGAUCACACUGCAAAAAUUUCCAGUACAGAGGAAAAUAAAUCUUCCUGGCAAUUUUGAUCUAGAAGAAGACAUGGAGUUGGUGGUGGACAGAGAUGAGCGGAGAUGAGGUGAAAAUGGUGGGUAUUGUUGCAUAUUGUAUUGUGCAUACUGUAUUACUUUAAUGUAUGCUAUGUUUGGAUAGAUUGUAUUGUUCUCCAUCGUUACAUAAAUAUCACACAUCAACAAUUUGAUUGAUAAAUCAA